rnacentral:lncRNA from 1 species
AACAAAUGUCCACACAGUUAGGAAGCCCAAGGGCCCUCUGCCCUUUCCUCUCUGCCUUCCUGGAGCAUGAACCCACACAGGGCACACAGCAGCAAGGCAUCCCCGGGCAGUGCCGUGCCCACUCACCAGCUUCUUCCUGCGGUCAUCGAUCUGGCAGAAGUUCUCCUCAUCUAUCCCCAAACAUGGGCUUCCUUGAGGCACAGUCAUUCAACCAACCAGCCAGCAUUCAUUGAGCACCAUCUAUGUCCUGGGCACUGCUAGGGGAUGGUGAUAACAGGGAGAAGACUCUGUCCCUGCCUUCCAAUUGUGUAGAGGAAGACAUCCCCCUACAUGAUGGGUGAGACAUAGCAGAAGUGAGUAGGGGAUGAGGUGGGGGCUCAGAGGAGGGCAUGGUCAGCCUGUCUGGGAGGGAGUUGCAUGUGUGCAUCUGAGGUAGGGACAGGCAUGCAUCUUACAGGAUGAAUAUCGAGCAGAGUUACAGAGAGGGGGAAACUCCUUGAGGUUUCAGGAAUCACCUAAUCCACUGUGACUCACAAAUUCCUGCCUCUUGGCUUUGCCUGCAGCAUAUCUCCUGGAAGUGUGCUGGGGCAAAACUCAUCCCAGACCACCAUCUCCAUCCUCCCCCAAUACACCCUGGCUCUCCCUGGCUACCCUUGAGCACGGUGCACGUGUGCAUGGGUGCAUGCCUGCAUAUAUAGCUAUCCCCCAUGUAUUUCCCAAAGCCCUACAUAAUGCUUCAGUUUGCUAAGGAAAAAAUGUUAAUUACUGCAAAUGUGUUUAAAACUGUAAAAGUACAUUAAACAAACUCUGUAAAGUGUGAAA